AGCCCUGUUCUUUGUCAGCUCAGGGAGAAUUUAGCGGUGAUGUGUAAGAGAAUGAGAAACAUGAGAACAGACAGCAUCAGGACUUUUAAGAUCCAAGAACCUGUCAGAUCCUCUGAGGACACAACCGCACCCAUUAAAGCAACUCGAGGCUUUUAGGUGCAACAGAAGGUGAUUCAACCCAACCUUUGCGUUUACCAAACGGUCGGAGAUGCCUUCAGGAAAUUCAUGAAGUAAAACUUUGUGGAACCCC